AUACUUAGCUGGCAGGGGAGAUACCAUGUUUAUGAGGGUGGUUUUCCCAAGACGAGGCUUAUGCAUUGCACUCCAGAUGUACUGACCUCUGCAAUUUCCCCAAACAUGGGAAACUUGUCUGGAUAAUUUGUGAUGGGGGCUGGAAUUGCAUUCACAUUCUCU
rnacentral:snRNA from 1 species